rnacentral:lncRNA from 1 species
AAGGAGGGCUUAGGUAUCUUUUAAUCUUAGGUAGAUAGUUGAAUACUUGAAAUCCUUUUUUUCUCUCUAGGUGUCGUUGUCUUUUUUUGUGAAUCACUCUUGUUUUUAUUAUCGGUGAUGCUAUUAUUCAACAACUGCAUAAUAAUUCUCUCUUUUAUGCCUCCUUUUGUUUUAAAUAUAAAUAUUGUUUUAUUUACUUUUGAAGUGAAAAUUCAACUUUUCUUUUGAAAAAUAUUUCAUUGAGUUGAGG